AUUGGGUUCUCAAACUAUGAGGCACGUGACUCAAAUUUUUAAUUUAUUGUAAUUUUAUUUCAAAAUAUCAAGUCCUGAAGUACAAUUUAGUUAACUGAACGAUUAUAUAUUAUUAAUGUGGUGAUACUAAUGUGGAAAUAUUAUAGCCAAUGACGUGAUAAUGAUUAAGAUGCUUUACUGUCAGAUUAAUGAAACACUAGCUUCUGGCCAACUAUAUUGAAUUGUGAGACAUAGUUGAACAAUUUGCAAAGUUUGAGGCUGAUAUUAUAUUCAAUAAAAAUUUGAAAGACUAAAAUAUCAUCCAUCUUAUGAUUUGAGGACCAAAAGUACUGUAAUUUAUCCUAGCAAAAUUACUGCCCAUAUAACUUAUCUCUCUCUCUCUCUCUCUCUCUCUCUCUCUCUCUCUCAAUCACCAUAUAACUCU
rnacentral:lncRNA from 1 species